rnacentral:rRNA from 1 species
AAUCAACGCUGGCGGCGUGCCUAACACAUGCAAGUCGAGCGAGAAAAGGGGGGCAACUCCCUGAGUAAAGCGGCGCACGGGUGAGUAACACGUGGGUAAUCUGCCCUGGAGUGGGGAAUAACACCGGGAAACCGGUGCUAAUACCGCAUACGAUCACGGAGUCUUAGGAUUUUGUGAUGAAAGGAGCAAUUCGCUCUAGGAGGAGCCCGCGGCUGAUUAGCUAGUUGGUGAGGUAACGGCUCACCAAGGCUUCGAUCAGUAUCCGGUCUG